rnacentral:lncRNA from 1 species
AUACCGGACGGGGUAUGAAGACUUUAUUAUUUUGGUGCUCAUACCGGACGGGGUAUGGGGACGGCCCACUUCACCCUCAUACCGGAUAGGAUAUUGAGGUUUAUUAUUUUGGCACUCAUACUGGACGGGGUAUGGGGACGACCCUGAAAUUAAGUUUGUUAAGAAAAAUGGUUCACGUGUGGCAGGGACCCCAAUGGAUCCCCAUGGAUACUAGUAGG